CGCCAACUAGCUAGCCCACCCUAAUAAUAACAACAAUCAACCAUCAAUAACCCCAAAUACACAUCAACUUCCCAUUAAAUAAACCAUUCUCCCCCCUCAGUAUGGGCGACAGAAAAGGAA
rnacentral:rRNA from 1 species